AACGAACGCAGGCGGCAGGCUUAACACAUGCAAGUCGAGCGCCCCGCAAGGGGAGCGGCAGACGGGUGAGUAACGCGUGGGAACGUACCCUUAUCUUCGGAAUAGCUCCGGGACACUGGAAUUAAUACCGAAUGUGCCCUUAGGGGGCAAGAGUUAUCGGAUAAGGAUCGGCCCGCGUUGGAGUAGCUAGUUGGUGGGGUAAAGGCCUACCAAGGCGACGAUCCAUAGCUGGUCUGAGAGGAUGAUCAGCCACAUUGGGAAUGAGACACGGCCCAAACUCCUACGGGAGGCAGCAGUGGGGAAUAUUGGACAAUGGGCGCAAGCCUGAUCCAGCCAUGCCGCGUGAGUGAUGAAGGCCCUAGGGUUGUAAAGCUCUUUCAGUAGGGAAGAUAAUGACGGUACCUACAGAAGAAGCCCCGGCUAACUUCGUGCCAGCCGCCGCCGUAAGAC
rnacentral:rRNA from 1 species